rnacentral:lncRNA from 1 species
AGUCUCAGAGGGCAGUCACGAUCUCUCCCUCUCUCCCACUCACGAUCUCUCUCUUAAUUCUUUUGUGGCCGAGUACCUGAAUUACAGUUGUGCAACGGAACUGCCCCAGAACUGCCCAAACCAAAUUAGACAGAGCGUUCUCCAUUCCAUGAAAUUGGAACCGAUAAUGGGCAAUCAAAUUCUCAAUUCUCAAUUUUAGAGUGGGAAUCGGAUCACUCUGGAUAUUUUUUAAUCUUUCGAGAACGUUUUUUCUUGAUUCUGUAUCUUCCUUUUCACCUUCUUCAUUUUUUUAAGGAAGAAAAAAGUACAUAGUCUUUCCAAUUUCUCUCUCUCUGACAUCAAUUCAUAGUCUUCUCACAUCAAUCCGUACAAAGCCUUAAUUAGUGACCCUCUUUUUGCAGAUUCAUGUGAACUCUGUCAUUUUUCUAGUCCUGCAUUUCUCUUCCAAUAGCUUCGUUUAUCUCUUUCGUUGAGUAGUUCUCCAUUUUCAUUAUCUGCUGAUAAUGGCACCCAUCAAAAAAAAAAACGACCCAGCGGAACCCCUUCGAACUCUCCGAAGGCAAGCUCUCGGUCAACAAAGUCCCCAUCCUCACCAAAGUCCGAAGCAAUGUCCCAUUGAG